UACAGAGGGUGCAAGCGUUGUUCGGAAUUAUUGGGCGUAAAGCGCGUGUAGGCGGCUUUGCAAGUCGGGUGUGAAAGCCCUCAGCUCAACUGAGGAAGUGCGCCCGAAACUGCAGAGCUUGAGUACCGGAGAGGAUGGCGGAAUUCCCCAAGUAGAGGUGAAAAUUCGUAGAUAUGGGGGAGGAACACCGGUGGCGAAGGCGGCCAUCUGGACGGAUACUGACGCUGAGACGCGAAAAGCGUGGGUAGCAAACAGG
rnacentral:rRNA from 1 species